rnacentral:misc_RNA from 1 species
GAUGAAGAACGUAGCGAAAUGCGAUAAGUAAUGUGAAUUGCAGAAUUCAGUGAAUCAUCGAAUCUUUGAACGCACCUUGCGCCUUUUGGUAUUCCGAAAGGCACACCUGUUUGAGCGUCAUGAAUACCUCAAUCUCCAUCUUUUCUUCGGAUUGAUGGGUGACUUGGAUGUUGAGCCCUGCUGGUAUGCUAUAUCAGCUGGCUUUAAACUUAUUAGCCGGCUCUGUACUGGAUCGGUUUGACUCGACGUGAUAAUAUUAUCGUUGAGGAUGCAUGUCUCAUGCAGCCGGAAACUAUCAAAGCAGCUUCUAGCUUGCCUUUAGUGCACUUUUACAUUUUAGACCUCAGAUCAGGUGGGACUACCCGCUGAACUUAAGCAUAUCAAUAAGCGGAGGA